CACGGGGGGACUGCAGCUCCCAGUGAUCUCAUUAGUGUUUUGCCGGUCCCCAGCAGACGGGGUGUCUUUCUGGAUCUGAUCCUCUUGCAUUACAAGUGUGGUAAGGGCUGAGGCAGUGCUGCGGGACAUGGAGGAAUCGGUGCUCUCUUUGACCACAGAGAAAAGGGAGGGAAAAGGGGUGAGCUGCCCUGGAUCGUUGGAGAUUGCCAAGAUGCCCCUGAGUCCAGAACCCUCCACUGCACAGGGCUCUCCUGUGCGUGACACUGGUCGCUGAUUCUGGACUUCGCCUCUUUUCCUUCUGUUUUUGUCUUCUCCGCGGUGACAGGAGUUGCCAACAGUUCUCUAAUUGGACUUAAGACUCACUGAACAAGAGAGAAACCAUGUCUGAUACUGGAAACCUAACUACUUGGUGCUUGUAAAAUCACAGUUAUUGGGGAGAAUCUUUAGCCUCUCCUCUGAAUCAGCAUAAUUCCUGACAGCACCCAAUAAACACGAUACCCACAGACAAGUGUGGUCCUCACCUCUCAUCAAAGAAACUUCUCUUUGCACGAGACAGAGAUCACUACAGAAAACCACAACAAUCAAAAUGCAGAGUGGUGGAUCCCAGCCCAGUGCCUACAUCUACAAAACACUCCCACACCUAAGGAUCAGAGGGAGCGGAAAGACUGUAGGACGGAGCCAGAGGACCAGGGAGUUUGCUGUGGGAUGGAGUCUCCUAAGAAUGGCAGAAGCUACACCCAUAAUGUCUCACCAACAUGACUGCAGAAACGUGAGCUGAAUGAGGGCAACACCAAUGGGCGUACCAAAGGGGACAGGGCAAAGCCCAUGAGGUCUCCACCCUAGGCAGCUAUAGAGGAAGGUGGGAGAGGUGGUCUUCCCCAGCGAAGAGUACAGCCAUUGGCUGUCCAGUGCCAAGUGGUCAGCCUUGAAAGCAUACUUACAAGUGACACAUAUGGACUAAACAGGCAAUAUAUACACACAAAGAUUCAUACGCAUAUAAUAGCUAUGAAUGAAAAUUGGCCCUGCAUUUGAAUGCAAGUAAGGCAGUGUACAUGGGAGGGUUUGGAGGGAGGAAAGGGAAGGGAGAGUGUGGUAAUUAUACUAUAAACUCAAAAAUUAAAAGAAAGUUAAACAUUUAAUUAGUUUCAAACUCCCUGUUGUAACAUGAGGCCGAC